CAAAGUAAAGUUUUAGAAACGUUAUUAUUUACAUUAAUAAAUUAUGUUGUGCAAUUCAACUUAUUUUGA
rnacentral:tRNA from 1 species